rnacentral:rRNA from 1 species
AGGACGAACGCUGGCGGCGUGCUUAACACAUGCAAGUCGAGCGGAAAGGCCCUUCGGGGUACUCGAGCGGCGAACGGGUGAGUAACACGUGAGUAAUCUGCCCAUCGCUUCAGGAUAGCCAUCGGAAACGGUGAUUAAUACUGGAUAUGACAUUCCUUCGCAUGUUGGGGUGUGGAAAGUUUUUUCGGCUGUGGAUGUGCUCGCGGCCUAUCAGCUUGUUGGUGGGGUAAUGGCCUACCAAGGCUUUGACGGGUAGCCGGCCUGAGAGGGUGACCGGCCACGACUGGGACUGACGACACGGCCCAGACUCCUACGGGAGCAGCAGUGGGGAAUAUUGGGACAA